rnacentral:rRNA from 1 species
GGCGCUGCUUAACACAUGCAAGUCGAACGAUGAAGCCUUUCGGGGUGGAUUAGUGGCGAACGGGUGAGUAACACGUGGGCAAUCUGCCCUUCACUCUGGGACAAGCCCUGGAAACGGGGUCUAAUACCGGAUAACACUCUGUCCCGCAUGGGACGGGGUUAAAAGCUCCGGCGGUGAAGGAUGAGCCCGCGGCCUAUCAGCUUGUUGGUGGGGUGAUGGCCUACCAAGGCGACGACGGGUAGCCGGCCUGAGAGGGCGACCGGCCACACUGGGACUGACACACGGCCCAGACUCCUACGGGAGGCAGCAGUGGGGAAUAUUGCACAAUGGGCGAAAGCCUGAUGCAGCGACGCCGCGUGAGGGAUGACGGCCUUCGGGUUGUAAACCUCUUUCAGCAGGGAAGAAGCGAAAGUGACGGUACCU